CGAGGUAUUCAUACUGGUCUAUGAUGACUCGUGUAUAUGUUGCACAAUAUAUCAUCUCAUUUCACUACCUAUUUGUUCAUGUGAUGUGCACGUGCACACGCAUGAGAACGGCUACGCCACCACACUAUGUGCAUUUGCGCGCACACGAAUAUACAAAUUGGGACAAGAUAUACUUCAACUUUAAAUCGAUCGGCGCACAAAAGCACUCAUUUAAGUUGUCCACAUGAGGCUGGCAAGCAAGAGUCAAAAAUUUCUGCUCCUGAACUCAGCAUACACACAAUGAACUUCCAAAAAGAAUGGUACGGUUAUAUGUCACAUGAAUAAGACCCCACCCCUUUGGCACUAUGUUUCAAACACUCAUUGACAAAUUCAUAUCUAUCAACAAUAAUAAUGUUAUGUUGAUCUACAUCGUAGUCCAUCAGUCUAGAACGCACAAAGCUUAAAAACUUUACAAUCUCUUUCAAAUCUUUCCAAAACAUGUUACAUCUUUAGGUUGAAUCUUGAAUUUAGUAGGCUCAAUAGUCAAAUCCACAUUAAAAACGAAAAGAGGCUUAAGUAUUUCUAACCAGAAUUAAUUCGCCGGUCCUCAAUUGUUGACCAUGAAAGUUGCUUCCUGUGGACGUGUGAUCUGCAUGUAAUUGUCCAAGUAUUAGCGCAGAAAACUACUAAUUUUUCACAAAGGUGUCACCUUGAGAUCAAUUUACUUCAAUGCUUUAGACAGAUUACAGUUGGGUCCAACAAAAAUCAGCGGCAGAUUCAUAUACAUAAUCUAUAUUACUAACCGUUCUAAAGAGGUCAACUAGCAUAUUGAAACAAAGUAUGCCACGUUACAGUAAUACCACCAAUAUU
rnacentral:lncRNA from 1 species